rnacentral:tRNA from 1 species
UGAUUGUUUAGUUUAAUAAAAACAAAUGUUUUGAAAACAUUAGAUAAGAAGCUUUCUUAAUAAUUGUC